AGCAGCCGCGGUAAUUCCAGCUCCAAUAGCGUAUAUUAAAGUUGUUGCAGUUAAAAAGCUCGUAGUUGAAUUUCGGGGAUCAAGGGAUCGGUCAUGCCUUGGUAUGUACUGGUCUUAUUGGUUCUCACCUUCUAAAGAACCAUGAUGUCAUUCAUUUGAUGUUAUGGGGAAUUAGGACUGUUACCUUGAAAAAACUGAGUGUUUAAAGCAAGCUUACGCUUGAAUACAUUAGCAUGGAAUAAUGAAUAAGACAUCAGAUUCUAUUUUGUUGGUUUCUAGGAUCGAUGUAAUGAUUAAUAGGGAUAGUUGGGGGCAUUAGUAUUCAAUUGUCAGAGGUGAAAUUCUUGGAUUUAUUGAAGACUAACUACUGCGAAAGCAUUUGCCAAGGAUGUUUUCAUUAAUCAAGAACGAAAGUUAGGGGAUCGAAGACGAUCAGAUACCGUCGUAGUCUUAACCAUAAACUAUGCCGACUAGGGAUUCGGAUGAUGUUAAUUUUUAAUGUACU
rnacentral:rRNA from 1 species